rnacentral:rRNA from 1 species
UAAUACGUAGGGUGCAAGCGUUGUCCGGAAUUAUUGGGCGUAAAGAGCUCGUAGGCGGUCUGUCGCGUCUGCUGUGAAAACCCGAGGCUCAACCUCGGGCCUGCAGUGGGUACGGGCAGACUAGAGUGCGGUAGGGGAGAUUGGAAUUCCUGGUGUAGCGGUGGAAUGCGCAGGUAUCAGGAGGAACACCGAUGGCGAAGGCAGAUCUCUGGGCCGUAACUGACGCUGAGGAGCGAAAGCGUGGGGAGCGAACAGGAUUAGAUACCCUGGUAGUCCACGCCGUAAACGUUGGGAACUAGAUGUAGGGACCAUUCCACGGUUUCUGUGUCGCAGCUAACGCAUUAAGUUCCCCGCCUGGGGAGUACGGUCGCAAGACUAAAACUCAAAGGAAUUGACGGGGCCCGCACAAGCGGCGGAGCAUGCGGAUUAAUUCGAUGCAACGCGAAGAACCUUACCAAGGCUUGACAUAUACGAGAACGGGCUAGAAAUAGUCAACUCUUUGGACACUCGUAAACA